rnacentral:lncRNA from 1 species
UUUGCUCAACCAAAACCCAAGCCUCCAUUCCCCUUCUACUCGCAGCCUUCAGACACAGCAAACCCUAGCCUCCCUUCCCAUCUACUCGUCUAUCAAGAAGCUGCUACCAAUUUUCAUCGUUGCAGGCGACAAUGAUCUACGACGUCAACUCUCCGUUGUUUCGCUCCUUCCUUAGCCAGAAAGGAGGCUCAUCUGAUAAGAGGUCAACAUGAAGUUUUUGCCUCGGGCUCAAUUAAGGACUUGAUAGCACAUCCGGAGCAUCGAUACCCUAUAUCGGGUUCAUCACUUCUUGCAACUAUGGAUGAAAAGCACUCAACUCUCUUCUUGUGAUCUUGACAAAGAACAAACUGAUACAUCACAACUGAAGUUAAAUGGACACAUGGACUUGGUAUUACGGCAGAGAUGCUUGGUUAGCUCACUAGUGGCCUUGAAUUCGCUUGGAACAAACUCAAGGGCGAAGGUCUUUCUUCUAUCUUUAAUGUCUUUUUUUAUUGUUGUUUUAAUGGUCUUAAUUUGAUUGUUUUUGUUUGUUAACGAUGAAUAUAUUAGUUAGGUUUUAUUGUUAUUAUUGUCUUGUAUUAUAUAUAAUUUAUUAGUUAGGGUUUAUUGUAAUUAUUUCGAUAGUAAUUAGGAGAUUGACUUGAUUAGGUUUCGUAAAUGGGUUAAAAGAUCCAAUUUGUGUGCCGGUUAAGGUUGCUGGUAAAUGAGUAUAUUGUGUGUAAAUGACAUAUGAAGUCAUUUAAAUUCGAAUUUUUGUUAAUUUGAGAUCAUAAAAUGAUUAUACUGUGUGGGGUUAUAAUCCUUGCCUUUUCGUUUUGCAAUUGGUAUACCUGAUGCUCCGGUCAAUGUUGGUGACGAGACAAACAAAGAUAAAAGGAGUUACGAAGAUCAUCAAGUUAUAUUUCAAGGAAAAAAUCUUAGUUCCAGUUGGUCCUAGCUUAGGGGCUCGGUAUCCAUUUCGAGAUAAAUCCUAACUUUAAGUUGAAAUUAUUGUUAUCACUUUGACACCAUUGGUGGUGACUGAACAGAGGGUUUGUGAUUUAUAUAUUUUUUAGCUUAAAAUAUCCAAAUUUUAAU